rnacentral:tRNA from 1 species
CAGAGAAUAGUUUAAUAUAAAAUGUUAAUUUUGGAGAUUAAUGAUAGGAUUAUUCCUUUCUCUGA